ensembl:lncRNA
CCGCGGUGCGGGCGGGAGCUGCGCCACAGCGCUGGGCGGCCUCCGUGCUUCACCCACCGCCACUCGGCGGACGGCGCCGAUCCGGAGCUUUCAUCCGCCGCUGCCCGGGUUUUGGCGCUCUCUCCGCUGCUGAAAGCUCCGAGAAAGGCGGCAGAGCCGGCCGUCCCGGAGGCCCGGAUGGCGCUGAGGAAAAACGCCCCGAUGUCGUCUGGGAUGGAUUCUGACAGGACGGCGGCACGGCCUGCAGCGAGGGGGGCAGGAAUCGGGGUGGUGCGGUGGAGCUGCGCAGGGAAACGUCGGAUGUGGUUAGCUGUGAAGGUGAAAUCUGUAACGCAGGCUUUGUGUUUGAAUUGCUUGUCUGCUGGGUGGUCUGCAGCGCGGUGAGCCCUGCUCUGCUGCUGGCAUAUGAGGCGUGCUGGGUGUGCGUGGGUUGGUGGCUGCAUGGGUGUGCAGUGGUUUGGUUUAGGCAUUCUGUUUCAAAGCUGCAUGGAAAGCAUCAGGAAAAGCCACUGACAGCAGCGACGUUGAGGUGGCCUCAAGGCUGUGACAGGAAGCAUUCAUCUGAGUCUCUUAAAUAUCGCAGCAUCGUUGUUGUACUCAGCUUUUAUUUCCUCGCGUUGCAGUGAGUAUCAGAAGCAGAUGGGUAAAGGCAGUAUGAAUUUCAUCGGUGUAAGGGCGAAGUAGCAGUCCAGAUAUGUGCUCCUAUGGAGUGUGAACCUGCCUUUGUGUGUCCUGUCAUCCUCGUCUCUUUGGAACUCGGCGUAUCCCUUCUUUCCCUAGGGAUAACUUUGUGGCAUGAAGUGAAUUCAUCACUUUACCUUCAGAAAGGAGGAGUUCCUUUCCUUGCACUCAAGGGAUUAACAGCUCCAGCAGAAUGCCGUGUCAGACUGCAGCAGGCGCCUUGCUGCUGCUGCUGUGGCAUCCCAGGGCUGUGCUGGAUGCCAAUCCUUUCCAACUGGCGCCUGGGAGAAAACAGCACGUUGCAGUUCUGUUUCAUUUGGUCAGUCCUAGCAGGGAAGUACUCCUUUCCAUCCCACUGUUCAGUGGUGUUGACUUCCAAAUCUUUUUCACUUUCAAUGGCAACAGAAAUUGAAAUUGCAUUUUUACUUUCUCUGUUGCUGCUCUGGAGAAGAUUUCAGACAUAUUUCUGUCCUCUGCUCUUUGGUUUCUCAUAACAGAGUUUUAGGGGGCUAUAUAGUUCACUAGUUCUCUGAGCUGCUUGACAUCCAAGGAGGAGUGAAAUUACCCCUUGCAAAACAACAUUUGGAUCACAGUGCAGGUCUCAUUUGGCAAUAGCAUGGCUGUUCUUUGAUGGGGAACCUGUCUGCUGGUGCUUGGAGGGAUGCUGAGCUCUUUUGGCCUGUGAGCCACCGCUGCAAACUACUCAGUUUGCUUUUGAAACUGAGCUAUUCCCGCUGCAAAUUGACAUCUGUCCUCAUGAAUGUGAUUGUUUUAGCUUGGGAACUGUCUCCCCAAACUUUAAAUAGCUCUAGAUCUACUAUAUUAGUUUUGACAAACAACUUCCCUUUUUUUCCAUCUGCUAUCAGAACCAUUUUCCCGAGUUCCUGUCCACCAUGUGGAUACCCAUGGGCAUCUUAACACCAACAGAUAGAAUGUAUCUGGCUUCUUCACAGACAAUCCCUCCUCACCUUUGAGUGGCCUUUGUUGCAGUGGAAAGCAACAGCAUGCUGUGAUACACACAGCGAUCCUGACGAAUGACCUGUGGAAUGGUGGUUUGACACAGCAGUGCAUGUUGGGGCUUGAAGCAUACCGUCCUGCUCCUCUUUAACCCAAGUUUCACAUGCAGAACUGAAUUUCGACACCUCAAUCUGUACAACUUUUUCAUUUUGAAGUAAUCCUCAAAUGCCCUCAUAAAACUAGUCUUUAGAAUCCACGCUGGCCAAACUUUGUGUUGCUGUUUGGGGAGUGACAGUUCCUAUGGAGUCACAUAUAGUGUUUGCUGAAUCCUUUAUCUGGUGUAGUAUUUUGCUAACCCUCUUUCCACUGUGUUGUAGCCUGGGGUAGUUGAACAGUUCAGUAGUGUGGCCCAUAUUCUCAAAAUUGGAGGCACGGGCCUUGAACCAACAGUUAUUCUUUGUCUCCCUGGUUUUAAGAGGCUUGACUUUAAAGCCACAGCAUUUAAUGUGUGAGUCACUAUACUGGUAAGUACUAUGUUUGCAAAAUACAAAUGCAAAAUGUCUGUCCCACGUAUACAUGAGGUUUCCGAAGGUUGGUGGCUUUAUUCUGUGUAUAUGCAAACAAAGAAACAUAAACGUUUGUGCUGUAUAAAUGUGAUUUUCGCUGUUGGCAUAGUCCUUCUUGGUUCUGUCCUGAUUGUUCACAUUCAGUGUACUUCUCUCAUGAAGUUCAGAUAUUGUUAUGGGUCCCUGUAACCCAGAGACCUGCAUGGAUCUCUUUUCUAUUACCCUGAGUUCAUAGGAGUUUCAAAGUGCCUUACUACAGUGGGCUGUGAAGGCGUGGUGUGGGCUCACAGCAGUUUGGUUCUUAACCCUUUGUCCUAUGCCAUACACUGGCCCUGCUGCAUGAUUCACUGUGAUUACCUUCCUUUACAGGUGGAAAUUCUUCCUGCCAUGAAACACACUGUUCUCUCAAGACACGACAAGGCAUUCUUCAUUAAAUAGAGUGUGAUUGUGUCGUUCAGAGAGGAGCUACAUCAUUCUGCCUCUUCCUGAGCAUGAUUUGAAUGUCGGGAUCAGCCCAAGACAAUGCAAGAACACAAGCCAUGAAAUCAAGAAUCUAGGAAAAAAGAAGUGUCUUACCUCCGUUUUUUUUCUAGCAAGGGGUUCUGCCUUAUACGGUCUGGGGUAGAGCUGUUUCUUGUGUUCAUAGCAACAUCUGUCCGGUCACUGUCAUUCAUGUCAAGUAGCAGAGCAAUUUGCUGAUUCACUCAAAAGAGACACAGAAUGAGACUUUUUUCAUGGAAGCCUUUUUUUCCCUCCUAUGCUGGCAGACCUAACUCCUGGCUUUGUACUCUCCGGGACAGUCACUUAAUGAGCAGUCAGUGAAUCAAUCCUUACAAGACACACAGACUGAAAUGUUCAAAUGCAACUACCUGAACGUGAAUCGAAGGCACUGAUGGGAGAAUGCAACAACCCUUUGCACAGUGCCCGGCGUCAGUCUUAUGCUUGCUUAUCUCACGGGAAAGUCACACUGUGGAUUUGAAUUCACUAUUUAAUCUAAAUACUCUCAGUGAGACACUGGCUGUCAGAAGUGACUUUGUAAAUCAGUCUACGGGAGAUCGGAAAGGGGAGAAAUAGAUGACAACAAGGAGACGUCUUGAAGGAAGAACUAGGAAACAGCAGAAUGGUUGGAUGUUGGGGAUCCUCCACCUGUACCAGUCAGAAUUCCCUGGCCUCGAGUCUGUCUGUGCUUCAUGAACUAAGCAAAAAAAAAAAAAAAAAAAAGGAAUUAAAAGACAAGGUGAAAAAAAAAAAAGGCAAAAAAAGCAAAAUGUCAGUAUAAGACUUCUUCACCUAAAUCAGAAAAUGCGGUUCUGAAGAGCCCACAGGAAGCUAGUAGACAAGGAGCAGUGGUGGAAUCUUAAUAGAAUUUAGCUGACAAAUGUGGAAGAGUGGCAUGAAUCAAUCAGAGAUUUACAGUUUGGCCAGGUUGGAUGGUUUCCCAGAAGGGUACUGAAAAGAACUUGAAGGCCAUGCAGCUUCUUUCUUUCUCAACUGUGAUUGCAUGACAGUUUAGUGGCUUCUGCCAAGAUGAAAAGGCAUGCAGGCAUCUUAAUAAAGUAGCUAAUGAGCAGAAUUUCUUUUGUUGAUGAAUAAAUGGUUUUUCCUACCUCAUUAUUUUAAAUGUGAGGACUGUGUUCAGUUUGGAGUGUGUUUUUAAACCAGCCUGAUGGACUUGCUUGACAUGGACAGCUCAAAUGGUUUCGUUUUGGCAAACUGGCAACCAGCUGAAAAUGUGAUCUUCUGCUGGUCACAGAGCAACAAGUGGUCUUGUGUGAGUGCAUACGAGUGGAUGAGGCUGUGAUUUGAACGAAGAGCUGAACAGCCAUGUGCCUGCAUCUGAAAGAGAGCACAGCUGGGCAAUGAUAGUGCAGAAGGAAGGCUCUAGAGACUCUUCUCAUUAAAGUAUCUCUGAUUGUCAAAGAGAACUGUUCGUUUGUUCUGUGAAUACUACCAUGCGUUACAGGUCUUGCUGUUUCCAAAGGCGAGUGGUGGUAUAUGGAAUGAAGGCACCAUAGCUGCAAACAGACUGGCAGUGAAAAUCUGAAUUUCGGACAGGACUUUCUAAGAAAUGUAUGUCCACACUGGUCUGCGGAGUCUUUCUGAAAUGAUUGAAGGAAGGAGCCUGCAGGCCUUCACAAGAGGAGUUCCUUUUGGAACCAAAGGCAAUAAAACUCUUAGACUGCCAAUAUCAGGAGCUUGGUUUCAACAACCUGAGAUGCGAUGUGCAUGUGUCUGUUGCCUUAGCCUUUACCUUGAUGUCUUUCCAAAAUGUGUUCUCUGGAGUAAGUUCUCAUACAAGCUAGCCUGCUGUUCUGCAUCUUUUCUGUUUUCCCCAGGCUGCAGCAGGUUCACCUUCUAAGCUGGCCCAUCAGCAAUGCUGUGAGAGCUCAGUAGCUUUAUUUGCCCUGUCUUCUCCGUUUGUUUUUCCUUCAAACCCUUAGCAAGCCUUUUUGUCUUCGCCACCUCUGAACUCUCUGCUGCUGUCUUCUGCCUGGGUCCUACUGCACCAGGGGUCAUCUCUGCUUCAUGUAGUAUGGCCUUGGCCUCCAGCUGCCACUAGUUUGGGUUGAAGGCUGAGCAGGGGCUGUGGGGCUGAGCCCACAGCUGGAACACUGCCAUCAGCAUAGGGGAGGAGGGAAGAGGUCUUUUCUCGCUCUCCUUGCAUAUUUGCACCCAUUGGAGCCUUGGUGUUGCUGCCAUGGACCCACAAGGUUGCCCUCAUCAGUGCUAGGCAUUCAGUAUUCAGCUUGAACGUGGAGGUGUGCUUUGCCAGGAGGAACACCACCAUUUCCAGGCAGCAGGGAUGCACAUCACCAGAUCUCUCAGUGCCACAAGAGGCCAUCCCAACUCCAAACACUACAUGGGGAAGCUGCCUGGAAAAUGGGAGAGAAUUUCUACAUCAGGAGUGACUCAGGACUUUGGUAUAUUGCGUUCUCAAAUAUUUAUUUCAGUGUUCUUAUAAAUGUUUUAUUUGGAGAAAAAUAUUGUAAUUAGCCAAUAUUCCAUAAAAUCUAAAUAUUUUGCUCUAAGAUAGUACUUCCCCUGAUUGUGGAGAUUUGAUUCUUUGCUGAUUACACAGUUCAAGCUCUGUGUAUUGACGAGGGCUUUCCUCCACUCUGUGGUCUGUUUACAUGUGACUGAGGCCUUAAUCCAGGCACUCUAAUAGCAAGCGGGGACAAAGACGAUUUAUCCUUGGUUAAUCUUCAAAAAUUGCUUUUCAUCUGACACUUUUUUUCCACUGAGGAAGAUUGCAUACGGGAACAGAAUGGGGCAGUUGAGGAAUAAAAAGCAGAGUUCCCUGUAACAGCUGCACUGACUGUACAGAGAACGGGGACGCUUGUCAGAAACAAGGAGCUGUACUAGAGAGGCCACUUGUUCUCUGCACUCGUGCAAUACAAGAGGUGUGGGAGAGCAGGCUGUGUGCAAUGUGUGCCUUGGGCCUGUCCCUGUGAGCUCUUCCUUAAUGCAAGCUGUGAAGGGACUUUCUCUGGUGUCACUCAUUUUCCAGCACUUGAAGGGUAUUUAGCACACUAAAUGGAGCAAUACUCUAUACGCAGUGCUUUGCUGCGUGCUGAUUUCAUGGUCCAGAGAUCCACCUUUGCAAGCCUGCACUGAGGAUGCUCAGGCUUCCACCCUUUCAGGACCUGUGUUGGAGCACACAGGGAGCUGGCCCUGCUCUUGUUUUUCCCAAGCCUGUGGUAGAGCUGAGGUUGGCUCCUGGGCUGCAGCUGUUGGAACCAGCAGGCAGCAGUACCAGGCAUGGGUGGAAAAAUGCACAGUGUGAGCAUCGUGCAAAUGUUGAGGGUUUUUUGAAGCGUCAUCUGAAGGCUUUAAUCCAUUAUAUGGUCCCAGUGAACACUGCUGGCAUCCAUCAUUCUGCUUGGCUCUAUUUACCAUCUAUACCUGGUUCCAGGAAACGUUUUAACAGAUAUGAGGAGAAGAGGAGGAAGCUUGUAACAACAGCUUUCUACUUUGCAGGAUACCAAAGGAAUGCACGUGUGUAAGAAUGAAAGGCAAGUACUACAAGUGGAUCGGAAACAGCUUUAUUUUGUGACAGGUGGUUUUUGUAUCCUGCAGAUGGAGCAGCUACAGUGGGGUAAGAAUGAGGCAUGUUUUGGGUGGCUGGGAAUCAUAGAAUCAUGGAAUGGCCUCGGUUGAAAAGGACCACAAUGAUCAUCGAGUUCCAACCCCCUGCUAUGUGCAGGGUUGCCAACCACCAGACCAGGCUGCCCAGAGCCACAUCCAGCCUGGCCUUGAGAGACCCAGUACAGCACAAGGAGCAUCCAAAUUGGGUACAAAUUAGGAGAAAUUCAAGUGUUUUCUGAAAUGUGUGUUUGCUGUGAAACGUGGCUGAUGUUGAGGGGCUGUCCGUGGCAGUGUCAAGACAGGAGAAUUCAUCAAGAGAGAGCAAGCUGCAGCAUUCAGAACUGUGAAAAUUGUAAAAUCUCCCGUGUCUUGCACUAGUAGAGAUAGAAGUAUGUGGAGAAGUCCUUUGGCUUUGGAGGGCUCUGUGAAUCAUCUCAUGCUGGGAAGGGCUUGUGUUCCUGCAGUUACGUUUGUUACUCCCUUGCCCAGUGACCUACGAAACCCUUCUUGGUCCUUGUGCAUUGGAUGGAAGAAGAAAAACAAAAUUACUUCAAAGCCACCUCCAGUAACUUCUUCAAAGGAGAUGUAGUGUAAUCUUUGUUGUAGGUGUAGGUGUUGGAAUGGCCUCCCCCAUCACUGAGGCUAUCAGUGUUGUUUUUCUGGAGGGUGAUAGUGGCGGAGGCAGAAAGCAGAAGUGCACCACAAAAGGGAACCAGCUGCUCUCCCAUCCUACAGCAUGGUGAAAAAGAGUGAAGAACUGGUACCCUUCUGGACAUAGGCUUUAUUCCAAGUGCUGGGAAAGUGAGAGAAAAGCCCCUGAGAUGCAGAAGAGGGGGGAAGAAGGUCUGCAGGUGGGAUCUGGCCAGGAUUGGGUCCCAACACCACAGCAGUACCAGGCCUGGGGCCACUGGUGUGUUCCGCAGCCACCCACCAGGGCUCUGUCUCAGCUGCGGGGACACUGUGCACUGGCAGCAUUUGAUGUAGUGACAGUGAAGACCUCAGGUGGAGCAGGAGUUCAGCAGCUACUGACAUGCAGGACCUCCAUUUGGAGAGGGCUGCCAUGGUCGGAGCCACAGGGAAUACAGCGCUGGCUUGUGGCAGCCACACAUGGAGGAGCAAUGGAUGACCCUGAUCUAGUGGUUGACAUCAUGACUUACAAGAACGACCUUCAGACAUGGAAAGGAUAGAAGAGUACCUCUCAGGGACCAUGGAGCUGGCAAGCACCCCAGGAUACUGGUGGUGGCCGUAGCAGCUUUGCUGUGGAUAAAUUCUCCUAUUUCCAAAGGGAAUUUGUGACCAUGUAUGAAAUGCCAAACAAUGUGCUAGCAAUCUUUUUGUAUGUAGAUAAGGCAUUUUAAUGCAAUACAGCUCAGCCUGCCUGCAGCAGACCAGACGUACUGACAAGGAUUAAUCGUCCAGCGCAAGACUUGGCAGAGUAACAAGCAGGGAGGACUCCUAACCAGGCAGCUGUUUGGGUCUUAUAUAAGCUGUCUAGACCAAACAUGAAGAAACGAAGCCAACCCUGGCAUCGGACUACCACUUCUGCACAGACAGUUUCCAACCUACAGCUUUCAUAUCUGAGCUUGUGCAAAGCAAGGGAGAAACAGAAGGAUGUUAACAGUCAAGCCAACUCUGCAUCAGAAAAAAGUCUGUGAGCAACUAUAAAAAUAAUGGAAAAGAACAGUAAUGAGUGAGAUUUACUACAGCUAGGAAAACAGUUGACAUUUUGCAUACAGAAAAUAUUGCGUUGCCAAGAACAUCUCCUCACAAUGAGCCCACAGGAGUCAGGUAGAGCUGGGGAACAUGGCUUAUGCUACAACAAAGGGGAGGAUGCUCCUGGCGGAAAGCAGCCUGGGAGAGAAGGUGCAACUUUUCCAAGUUCCUUGUGACUGUUCCAGUGGAAGAUCAAAUUCAUUCAAAGAGAAAAUAUAAUCAGAAAAGAGGCUGUUCUUGAAGUAUUUCACAUGGCAAAUAAGAAGAAAGGUCUGUGGCUGGGACAGGUGUGACCGUGAGGGACUGAAAACAACCAGGGCUGUCACCAGGGAGCAGCGGAGCAAGAUAUAUCCUGUUGGUGGGUAAUGGAUUAGCCAUUGGCAACCUUCAGCUUGAAGGAAGCCAGGAGUUGUAUGACACAACCAAUCCUUGUGCCAUGGGGCAGGAUGUGACCCGCUGGGCGCAGCACAUGCAGGAGCCCUUUGUCACCACGUUGUUUGGCUCAUUAAUGAAUACCAGAACCAGUCUCGUACAGGUUGUCCACAACGUUACACACGUCUGGCUUUUUUUGGGAGCAGUGUGUCACAAGUGCCUGUUUUGCUGUUUCUUGCUGCCAGGGCCCAGGAGAUACCAGCUGCUGAGCAGUGGGGUGCAGGAGGCCCUACCUUGGUGGCCAUGCAGAAGUGGGUUUGCCCCUGCCCAGCCCCAGAGGAGCUCUCCCAUGGAGGACUGCCUGCAGCCAUCCUGACAGUGAGAGCAGACUGUGCCCAGGGACUCUGGGGCUCUUUGGCUUUGUUUGUGGCACAGCUUCUAGGAAGCCCCUAUGAAAGACCAUCACGUUUGGGAAUGUCUGUAACCUGGUUUUUAAGUUACAAGGAUUGGUAUUUUCCCUGUACCCCUUGUCCUUAUUCCAAACCCUUCCUUUCUUGGCUAUAGCAGAUCUCAGCAUUGUGAUUUAUGGGCUCCAGAGGUGUCCCAAAAAGGGAAAAAAUAGCUGUGUUCAGACAGUGUGACAAAGAAAUUGGAGAGAUGGGGGGGGCUGGGGACUGACGGGUCACCUCAUAGGAAUGUCCUGCCUGUGGAGAUGCUGGAGCAGCCUCCUUCCCUUGCUCACAUGGUCAGAGCCUUGUACAAGCAUUUAGAGCUGAGUUGGAACCAUAGCAGAUACAUGACCUGUUUUCUGGACUGACAGAGGGUUUUCUACCCAGCUCCAGGUGUGGCUGUGAGAUGGCAAAAGACUGGGACAGCCCCACACAGCCACUUAACUGCAUUAAAGCAAGCAGGACUGAGUUUCCUGGCUACCAGCUGUGCCUCUGCUCAGGUCUCCGUCCUUGUGGCUGCCUACAGGCUUGCUCUUGCCCUGAAUGGCACAAAGAACUCAUCCUAGCCCUGCACACAUAGUGCUGUCCUGAGCACGUGCCAGCCCUGCUUCAGCCUCCCAUCUCCCUCUGCUCCCAGUGGACGCAGUGCUCUUGCCAGCCCGUGGCUGCAUCCUCUGAUGCUGUGCAGCUGUUCCUAUUGGCAGCAUGGCACCAGCACAACCAGGUGCCUGGCACAGUGAGAUACAGCAGGAGCAUCUGGCUCAGUGCAGCAGCUCUUCCCUGCACCGCCGGGCCCCAUGCAACACUCAGUGUGCUACACGCUGCUCAUAACCCUGUGGAGUGCCUGCACCUCUCUGAGCAGCAGGAGCAGGCAGACCGAUGGACAGACCUGCUGGUUCUCUUGUGCAUGGGAUGGUAGACACAACAGAGGUUCAGCCCCAGGGAUUGAUACUUGAAACAAAUCACUCCAGAGCAAAGAGAAGUGGUGCGUGCCAGCUGGGUGUGAUGAGAACUGGAGUCCUCAUUGCCAGCAACAGCAUUGCUCCUCCUCAGGCAGAUGUGGGACCUUCCUCAUCACACGGCUCCUUCACAUCUCGGUGAUGUGGCAUCCGCAGUGCUGGUAGGAGGCUGUACAGCGCCCGUGCCAGAGCAGGAUGUGAGGAAUUAAAUACUCCCGAUCCUGCCCUGGCCCUGAGCAGAACGUGAGUCACAUCUGAGAAAUGGGUACAUCUGUUUAGGAAGGAGUACUCUGUCCUGAGCCAAUGGCAUCGGUUGUGCCCGGGCAGAUGGGCCGUAUGGCCACUCUGGGCCAGAGACUCGUGCUGAAGGGUUGGCAGAGCUGCAGCAUUGCUGUGCGUUCCUUACCUUCUUCUUCCCUGGGGCUGUCAGCCCUUGAAGCCACCUGAUGCUCAGCUGCAUGCCGAGUGGGAAAUAAGCAAAUCCGCAGCACCAAGGCUUGGAUGUGCAGUCCCCAGGAGGAAGAGGAGGAGGCACGGAGCGUGGCUGCCUGCUUCCCUUCUUCAGCAGCUCCACAUGGCUGGAAGAGCUUCUCCACUGCCUGGGCACCUUGGGGCCCCAAGCCAUGGGAACUGAGAACCCCAAAACUCAGCCAGCACUAUGUCACUGCUUGUAAGGGCUCCGUGGGAGCUGCCCUGGAUGUUGGCACGCAGGGGAGCAGCAUCGCUGUGUUACACCUGUGCUUGCUGUGCAGCAAAGCCAGGAGCUUUCCUCCUCCUCCUCCCUGAGCACAAUGCGGUGGCUUUUGGUAGCCAGGGGCAGGGAUAGAGGCCUGGCACAGGCAUCCCAUGGGGGUGGCUCUCCUUGCUCCGCUUCUACACGAAUAACAAAAUCUCCUACAAGGCUGCGUUCAGCGGAGUGCACACAGCAGCUCCCCAGGCUCACUGCUGCAGAGAGCCCAGAGGAUGCAGUGCCAUCAGCACUGGGCAUGCAAAGGUGCUGCAGAGCCACGACAUUGGCUAAGUGUGGCUCAGAGAGGCACAGAGGGACACUUAACAGCUAGCGACGGACAACAGUUGCAGGAGGAGAGCUCUGCAUAUGCUGAGACCGCCGUGCUCCUGGCUGCCCUAUCAGCAGAGCUCAGUGUGCUCCCACACGUGGGUGCUGUGCGGGACCCCCAACUCCUGCAGCCAAAUGGAGCCAAAACUCCAUUUACAGCCAAAUUUGGGGUGUUCGGUGGUUUUUUUUUUUUUGCUGAAAGGCCGAGUCGGACGGAAAUAUUUCCAUGAUGUCUCUCCCGUCGGUUUCUAAUUCCGAACAAAAGUUUCCUUUUACACAAACAAACUUCGCCGCGGUCGGGCAGCCCGUGCCCAGCCGGGGCUCC